rnacentral:sRNA from 21 species
AGUUAGCAAUUUAUGAAUAAUAUUGAGUAGCGACAAUAUUUUCAUAGUUGUUAAUGUUCAGAGUAGUAAUUAAGUUCUCCCAAAACAUAUACUACACUAUAAUAGCCUGAGGCAUAGUAAGUGCCUCAGGUUAU